rnacentral:rRNA from 1 species
AGAGUUUGAUCAUGGCUCAGGACGAACGCUGGCGGCGUGCCUAAUACAUGCAAGUAGAACGCUGAAGAGAGGAGCUUGCUCUUCUUGGAUGAGUUGCGAACGGGUGAGUAACGCGUAGGUAACCUGCCUUGUAGCGGGGGAUAACUAUUGGAAACGAUAGCUAAUACCGCAUAACAAUGGAUGACACAUGUCAUUUAUUUGAAAGGGGCAAUUGCUCCACUACAAGAUGGACCUGCGUUGUAUUAGCUAGUAGGUGAGGUAAUGGCUCACCUAGGCGACGAUACAUAGCCGACCUGAGAGGGUGAUCGGCCACACUGGGACUGAGACACGGCCCAGACUCCUACGGGAGGCAGCAGUAGGGAAUCUUCGGCAAUGGGGGCAACCCUGACCGAGCAACGCCGCGUGAGUGAAGAAGGUUUUCGGAUCGUAAAGCUCUGUUGUAAGUCAAGAACGGGUGUGAGAGUGGAAAGUUCACACUGUGACGGUAGCUUACCAGAAAGGGACGGCUAACUACGUGCCAGCAGCCGCGGUAAUACGUAGGUCCCGAGCGUUGUCCGGAUUUAUUGGGCGUAAAGCGAGCGCAGGCGGUUUGAUAAGUCUGAAGUUAAAGGCUGUGGCUCAACCAUAGUUCGCUUUGGAAACUGUCAAACUUGAGUGCAGAAGGGGAGAGUGGAAUUCCAUGUGUAGCGGUGAAAUGCGUAGAUAUAUGGAGGAACACCGGUGGCGAAAGUGGCUCUCUGGUCUGUAACUGACGCUGAGGCUCGAAAGCGUGGGGAGCGAACAGGAUUAGAUACCCUGGUAGUCCACGCCGUAAACGAUGAGUGCUAGGUGUUGGAUCCUUUCCGGGAUUCAGUGCCGCAGCUAACGCAUUAAGCACUCCGCCUGGGGAGUACGACCGCAAGGUUGAAACUCAAAGGAAUUGACGGGGGCCCGCACAAGCGGUGGAGCAUGUGGUUUAAUUCGAAGCAACGCGAAGAACCUUACCAGGUCUUGACAUCCCGAUGCUAUUUCUAGAGAUAGAAAGUUACUUCGGUACAUCGGUGACAGGUGGUGCAUGGUUGUCGUCAGCUCGUGUCGUGAGAUGUUGGGUUAAGUCCCGCAACGAGCGCAACCCCUAUUGUUAGUUGCCAUCAUUCAGUUGGGCACUCUAGCGAGACUGCCGGUAAUAAACCGGAGGAAGGUGGGGAUGACGUCAAAUCAUCAUGCCCCUUAUGACCUGGGCUACACACGUGCUACAAUGGUUGGUACAACGAGUUGCGAGUCGGUGACGGCGAGCUAAUCUCUUAAAGCCAAUCUCAGUUCGGAUUGUAGGCUGCAACUCGCCUACAUGAAGUCGGAAUCGCUAGUAAUCGCGGAUCAGCACGCCGCGGUGAAUACGUUCCCGGGCCUUGUACACACCGCCCGUCACACCACGAGAGUUUGUAACACCCGAAGUCGGUGAGGUAACCUUUUGGAGCCAGCCGCCUAAGGUGGGACAGAUGAUUGGGGUGAAGUCGUAACAAGGUA